CAGUCGCCGCGGGAAUACGAAGGGUGCAAGCGUCACUCGGAAUUACUGGGCGUAAAGCGUGCGUAGGUGGUGGUUUAAGUCCGUUGUGAAAGCCCUGGGCUCAACCUGGGAAUUGCAGUGGAUACUGGGUCACUAGAGUGUGGUAGAGGAUAGUGGAAUUUCCGGUGUAGCAGUGAAAUGCGUAGAGAUCGGAAGGAACAUCUGUGGCGAAGGCGACUAUCUGGGCCAACACUGACACUGAGGCACGAAAGCGUGGGGAGCAAACAGGAUUAGAUACCCCCGUAGUCCCUGUCUCUUAUAC
rnacentral:rRNA from 1 species